rnacentral:rRNA from 1 species
AAUCAACGCUGGCGGCGUGCCUCAGACAUGCAAGUCGAACGCGAAAGUUUCCUUCGGGAGGCGAGUAGAGUGGCGCACGGGUGAGUAACACGUAGGUGAUCUACCUCCGAGUGGGGAAUAACAGCCGGAAACGGCUGCUAAUACCGCAUAAUACCGAAAGGUCAAAGCUUUAUGUGCUUGGAGAGGAGCCUGCGGCAGAUUAGCUAGUUGGUAAGGUAAUGGCUUACCAAGGCGACGAUCUGUAUCCGGUCUAAGAGGACGGUCGGACACACUGACACUGAAUAACGGGUCAGACUCCUACGGGAGGCAGCAGUCGGGAAUUUUGGGUC